CAGCAGCCACGGGAAUACGUAGGUGGCAAGCGUUGUCCGGAAUUAUUGGGCGUAAAGCGCGCGCGGGCGGAUAGGUCAGUCUGUCUUAAAAGUUCGGGGCUUAACCCCGUGAUGAGAUGGAAACUGCUGAUCUAGAGUAUCGGAGAGGAAAGUGGAAUUCCUAGUGUAGUGGUGAAAUGCGUAGAUAUUAGGAAGAACACCAGUGGCGAAGGCGACCUUCUGGACGAAAACUGACGCUGAGGCGCGAAAGCCAGGGGAGCGAACGGGAUUAGAUACCCGCGUAGUCCCUGUCUCUUAUACA
rnacentral:rRNA from 1 species